rnacentral:tRNA from 1 species
GGGUCGUUAGCUCAAUUGGUAGAGCAGCUGCCUCUUAAGCAGCGGGUUCUCCGGUUCGAUUCCCCGGCGACCCA